rnacentral:misc_RNA from 1 species
ACGGCUGCGCCAAAAUCCAACGGAGCUUCGCUCAGCUCACAGUUUCCUUCGCACCCAACUAGAUCGAUAAGUAAACACGCCCUCCGCACUCUUUCCGAUUUAACUUUCGGUGUUUCCUUGACCCGCACCAUUCGCUGCCUCCGCCAUGGAGUCCAGGAACGAGUUUUUCUGCCCUUCCUAAACUGGAUGCUGUUCGUCGUAGUGGCGGCGCUUAGUUUCUUCCCGAGCAGCGAGUCUCUUCAUGGGCCCAAAGAUGGAUGAGCUGCAGGAAUGGGCCGAGGCGAAGGGGAUGUCCAACGACCAUGCCGAAAAGCUGCAGUAGGGAAUUCGCUCACAAGGGCUGAAAGGACGGUCGGCGCCGUUGCACGCAAGCUCCUCUGCAGGCAAAAACACGAUGAAGCCACUGCUGCAGUCUGGGAGCGACUUUGCUUGUCUUUGAAGAAAGCCAGUGGCAUCGUCCUGCACGUGAAGCAUCACCACCACCACCCCUCUGUUGGGGAGCGCGUGUCGCCACUGACGAGACGCCUCAUUCGCUUGCUCAUGCCGACUUCCAACAACCUCCCCCUCCCCCCCCCGCGCACAG